rnacentral:rRNA from 1 species
UACGUAGGUGGCAAGCGUUGUUCGGAAUUAUUGGACGUAAAGGGCGCGUAGGCGGUUGGUUAAGUCAGCUGUGAAAGCCCCGGGCUCAACCUGGGAAUGGCCGUUGAAACUGGCGAACUGGAGUGUGGCAGAGGGGGGUGGAAUUCCGCGUGUAGCAGUGAAAUGCGUAGAGAUGCGGAGGAACACCGAUGGCGAAGGCAGCCCCCUGGGCUGACACUGACGCUCAGGCACGAAAGCGUGGGGAGCAAACAGG